rnacentral:rRNA from 1 species
GGUAUAGUUCUUCGGAACUAGAGACCGGCGCACGGGUGCGUAACGCGUAUGCAAUCUACCUUUUACAGAGGGAUAGCCCAGAGAAAUUUGGAUUAAUACCUCAUAGUAUAUAGCCCUGGCAUCAGGAUUAUAUUAAAGUCACAACGGUAAAAGAUGAGCAUGCGUCCCAUUAGCUAGUUGGUAAGGUAACGGCUUACCAAGGCUACGAUGGGUAGGGGUCCUGAGAGGGAGAUCCCCCACACUGGUACUGAGACACGGACCAGACUCCUACGGGAGGCAGCAGUGAGGAAUAUUGGACAAUGGGCGCAAGCCUGAUCCAGCCAUGCCGCGUGCAGGAUGACGGUCCUAUGGAUUGUAAACUGCUUUUAUACGAGAAGAAACACUCCUUCGUGAAGGAGCUUGACGGUAUCGUAAGAAUAAGGAUCGGCUAACUCCGUGCCAGCAGCCGCGGUAAUACGGAGGAUCCAAGCGUUAUCCGGAAUCAUUGGGUUUAAAGGGUCCGUAGGCGGUUUAAUAAGUCAGUGGUGAAAGCCCAUCGCUCAACGGUGGAACGGCCAUUGAUACUGUUAGACUUGAAUUAUUAGGAAGUAACUAGAAUAUGUAGUGUAGCGGUGAAAUGCUUAGAGAUUACAUGGAAUACCAAUUGCGAAGGCAGGUUACUACUAAUUGAUUGACGCUGAUGGACGAAAGCGUGGGUAGCGAACAGGAUUAGAUACCCUGGUAGUCCACGCCGUAAACGAUGGAUACUAGCUGUUGGAAAGCAAUUUCAGUGGCUAAGCGAAAGUGAUAAGUAUCCCACCUGGGGAGUACGUUCGCAAGAAUGAAACUCAAAGGAAUUGACGGGGGCCCGCACAAGCGGUGGAGCAUGUGGUUUAAUUCGAUGAUACGCGAGGAACCUUACCAAGGCUUAAAUGUAGAUUGACCGGUUUGGAAACAGAUCUUUCGCAAGACAAUUUACAAGGUGCUGCAUGGUUGUCGUCAGCUCGUGCCGUGAGGUGUCAGGUUAAGUCCUAUAACGAGCGCAACCCCUGUUGUUAGUUGCCAGCGAGUCAAGUCGGGAACUCUAACAAGACUGCCAGUGCAAACUGUGAGGAAGGUGGGGAUGACGUCAAAUCAUCACGGCCCUUACGCCUUGGGC